UACGGUUGCAAAGCUGAAACUUAAAGGAAUUGACGGAAGGGCACCACCAGGAGUGGAGCCUGUGGCUUAAUUUGACUCAACACGGGAAACCUCACCCGGUCCGGACACUGGAAGGAUUGACAGACUAAAGCUCUUUCUUGAUUCAGUGGGUGGUGGUGCAUGGCCGUUCUUAGUUGGUGGAGUGAUUUGUCUGGUUAAUUCCGAUAACGAACGAGACUCUCGCCUGCUAAAUAGUUUUCCAUACGUUACUUUAUGGAACCUAAAACUUCUUAGAGGUACAAGUGGCGUUUAGCCACACGAAACAGAGCAAUAACAGGUCUGUGAUGCCCUUAGAUGUCCGGGGCCGCACAUGUGCUACAAUGAAUGCAUCAACGUGUAUCAGCCUCGCCCGAAAGGGUUGGGGAAUCCGCUGAACGGCAUUCUCAGUAGGGAUUGGGGAUUGCAAUUAUUUCCCAUGAACACGGAAUUCCCAGUAGGCGCCAGUCAUCAGCUGGCGUCGAUUGAGUCCCUGCCCUUUGUACACACCGCCCGUCGCUACUACCGAUCGCUCUUGUUUAUGAGCUUGUCGGAUUNNNNNNNNNNAAAAGAGAAGCCGCCGAGUGGCGAGUUGUUGAAAGUAGCCCAGCGAAACAACGGAACAAACCCUCGGAAUAAGAAAGAAAAAGACGUGCUGUACGAAAAAGUGCAACG
rnacentral:rRNA from 1 species